rnacentral:rRNA from 1 species
GACGAACCGUGCGAACGUUGUUCGGAAUCACUGGGCUUAAAGGGCGCGUAGGCGGUCUAGCCAGUCCGGGGUGAAAGCCUCCAGCUCAACUGGAGAAGUGCCUUGGAUACUGCUGGACUCGAGCGAGGUAGGGGUGAUGGGAACUUCCGGUGGAGCGGUGAAAUGCGUUGAUAUCGGAAGGAACGCCGGUGGCGAAAGCGCAUCACUGGACCUCUUCUGACGCUGAGGCGCGAAAGCCAGGGGAGCAAACGGGAUUAGAUACCCCGGUAGUCCUGGCCCUAAACGUUGGGUACUAGGUAGUGGACUAACAUGGGUUCACUGCCGAAGCAAAAGUGGUAAGUACCCCGCCUGGGGAGUAUGGUCGCAAGGCUGAA